GAGAUAGCUCAGUGGUAAAGUGCCUGCCUAGCAUGCAUGAGGCCUUGAGUUCAAUUCCCAUCAACA
rnacentral:tRNA from 1 species